AACUGCGGUGGGAAUCGAACCCACGCCCCUCAGCACGAUGCGACUAAAUGCUUGGUAACACUAGCCGCACGGCCACGAAGCCACACUUCGUACAUCGUUUUUAACUUAUCACUGCUCACUGCUUACUUCUCAAGUUUCGAGUUCCUCACUUUUCACUCCUCCUCAUUAAUUCUUACUCUAGUUAGCAUUGUGGAUAAGGCUUUAAAUCCUCAAUCCGGCAGCGGUGGGUUCGAUUCCCGUUCCGGUCGGGAGCUUUUCUCGACUUCCCUUGGUAUAGUGUAUUAUUGUGCUUGCCUCACAAUAUGCAAGUUCAUGCAAUGGCAGGCAAAGAAAACCCUUCAAAUCAUAACUGUGGAAGUGCUCACAGAACGUUAAGUUGAAGAUAGGCAGGCCAAGUUUCAGUGGGAACGUAGAGCCACAAAGAAGAUGAAUAUGAUUCUCUUUCUGCUAUUUUCCUUUCAAUUCUCACUGGUUAUUUGUCACCCGCUCCUCAUCUCUUACUCUUUACUGCGCAAUCCUAAUUACUCACCUUUCUCUUCUCACUUCUUGCUACCCACUAAUCCACUGCUCACUCCUUACUUCUCUCUUCUCACUCUUUACUUCACACUCUUCGCUGCCUAGUCAAAUUUUCUAAGAUCUCACCCCUCACUCUUCACUGUUCAAUACUCAGUAUUCACUUGUCACUGCUUCGCACACCUCAUUUCUCACUGCUCACUUAAGACUAAUCACAGUUCACUCCUCACUACUUACUCCAAAGUUAUACUAAUCGACUCGCAAUUCUUAGUUCUCUCUGUUCACUAUCCACUGCUCACUCCUUACUCAUCACAGCAACCUCGUCAUGGCUCACUCCUCACUCUAAACUGCUAACUUCUCACUCAUGUCUCUGCACUGCCGAAUACUCAGUUAUCACACCCAACUGCUUUAUACCUGAGGUGUGUGAAUCUGUCAUUGAUGGCCGGAAUGAGCCUAGAUUUAUUCAUGGUUUGAAUAGUUGAAAGCUGAGCACAGUGGAAGUCACUUCGAAUCUUGUUUUAUUUUCACACUUACAAAAGUCCUGCACCUGUGCUGCUCCCUAAUCUUAAGGACCUGUCAAUCCACAGUUGCCAUUCGUUUUUAGUCGAGCAAAAACAAGGAACUAGCAAAGAGUUUGUCCGAAUCCAAAUCUAAGUACCCACAUCUACAAAGACAAAGAAGAAGAAGAAGAACGCGAAACGAUAAGCGAAAAAUAAAACUAAAAACCACCAGUUCCGUCCCAUUUCCAUUCGCCACCAUCAUCAACAUCAUCACGAUCAUCAUCGACGUCAUCAUUGUUGUUGCGACGCCGCAUAAAGUAAGUUUUCUGGGCCGGUCUAAAAAAUGAACCAGUCUAGCGGCAGCAUAAGUGCAGCAUGACAGUUCUCGCGCGCUGGUAGUGGUAGAGUAAAGAGGGACGAAAUUGGGUGAUAAACUGGUAGAACAAGCGAUAAAUAAACAAGGAAAAAAGUGCAGUUUCGCCAUCGCAUUAGAAACAGUCGAAGUAGUUUUGAAGCUGUAGAUUUGUCUUGUUUAUUUCGAAUGUGAUAAUUAGUUGGAGUCGAAAGUAGUUGGAAGUUGCCAAAGUCGCAGUGCUGUGUUUAAUAAUCAUUGAUUUCGUAAGUAGAACCUGGAGAGAAAGAUAGUCAGUGAAAACUAUAUGUAUACUUACCGGGAUAUUUCUCCUUAGCCGCACACCGGUCUGGUGAUUCCUAAAAUAAGGAAAAUUACCAAAAAACUUACCGUGCCGGUGGAUCCUUAUCAUCCAAGCAACAUAUUUCAAUUAGGGUAGCGGCCCUUAGUUCAAUCCAAUCACAUUUGUAAAUCGGAUAAAAGAAGUCGUGGCAGAGGAAACCACUUAAUUGUAAGUUGGUAGUUAUUAAGUUUGUGUUGUCAAUUGUGUUAAUUGAAUUCUUUUGUAAAUAAAUUUCAGUUUAAGCGUUGCUACAAAAAACUUGAGCCGCUCUAAAAACCUGGUUUCCCUCUCGGGAACAAUUGUCAUGUCGUGAAAAUGAAAAACAAAAAUCUGAAAGUCCUAGACCACAGUUGGUGGAACUCGUUGGCGAGCAGAACAACCCAGCCAGCAAUUUGGUUGCUAUAUCGAAGUUGCAACUGAAAUAGUCACACAUAUAUAGAGCCAAAGAAAUAGUAUUCAAUGCACGAAACAGGCAUAUACAUACUAAAGUGGAGGCCAUAUCGAAACAUAUAUACGAUUACUGCGAUUCCAUCCAACAUGAUUUACGAUUUCUUGAAAAAUUUCUACGAUUUCGCCGAUUUUAUCCGUCUAAAUAUACGAUUAUGCAUGAUCUUAUUACAAUUGAGAGUACCAUUUAAAAAGAAAAAAAAAAACAAUUGGUAUUCAGUGGGAAUCGAACCUAGGUCCUCUGAUUGAGAACUGCGCGUUAUCUCUAUAGGCUAUAUUGCCAAGUUGAAAAUGGUGAGUUCAAAGUGAAUGGCAUGAAACGAAUAAAAAUUAGCAUGAUACGGUGCGAGAUUUGUGGUGGGAGAGUUGUUGUGCAUUGAGUGGCACCAAAAGUGCAAGAGGCCCGGAAUUCACGUCGUUAUUGGAAUCUAUAUAUCACUUAUUGUAAGUCAUCUGAUAUAUAUAAAUAGUCUGAAAACCUAUAUAUGUGGGUGAAAUUAUUGCUACCAUGGUUGGAAUGUGUCAACAACAACAAAAAUACGAAUUUGUUAUGAGAACCAUUUUUGCUUUUUCUCCAUCAUAAAAAUAUGUAAACAAAACCAUUUACGAUUUCCGAGAUUGAGAUUCGACUAUUAAAAGUGCAGUAACAAUCAUAUGCGACUGUAAAAAUGAAUAUGGGUCAUUCCAUAUGAAGUGACCGAGAAAAAGUGGAAACGUGUUAUCGACCAUCACGGAUUUUGACCAAAUUUUGUUGGAAUGUUUGUUUAAAUGGAGGAAGAAAAAAUCCAAAUUUUGGUGCCGAUCGGAUCACCCCUCGGCCCGUGGCAGCACCCCUCGUCUUUGCCAAUACAAGAAAAAUCCUAGUUUUCCCUUCCUUUUCUUAAUUUAUAGCUUUGAAACUAUAACAUAUACACAUUUGUGACCUUUGGCUUUUUCGAAGAAAAUUGUUGGAGGAAUCCAGGAAAAAUAUUAUUUUUUUGGUACAGUGUUGCCAAAUAUGUUAUUUUUUAAUUUUAAAAUUUAAAAUCUAUUUUUCGUCAAAUGAGUAUAUUUUGAUUUCAAAAAUUUUGAUUCCAUCGUGUUUAUCAGACAUUUUCCAGUCGAAAAAGCUUAACUCCCCGAAGUCUUUUGGGCCGUUCCAGAGAUACAGCGUUUUUAAGCUUGAAAACCGGUUUUCUCUAAUAUAUAAAAUAAGUCCAAUUUACAAGUUUCGCUAAGAAAACAUUAUUCGAUGCAAUUUAAAGGAGAUUUAGGCUGAUUUAGACCAAGGAGAAUAGAAAACUAUGUAAAAAUAAUAAUAUGACAGUGUUGCCAGUUUCUCAAUUAUGGAUUUAUUAGAAUAAAUAACAAUAGAUUGCUAAAGUUUAAAAUUUAUGUAUUAUAAUCCUUGUUUCAAUUGAAAUUCUACCUAUGUAAACAUUAUGGUUGACGAAAGUGUUGCCAGACAUUUUAAUUUUAUUGUAAAAAUCUACAUGAGAACUUUUGUAUCAAAUCAAACUAUCAAGCAAGAAUCAUAAAUUCCUUUUUUACAAUUUUAUUGCUACUGGCAACACUGAGCCUUGAUAGUUUUCGUUUGAUGUGCAACAUUUUAUUCUUCGAACAAACCUUUAAUAAGGGCAGUGGUAAAUUCAAAUGUUCACUGAAAUUUAUUCAUGGUGCAGAAUUACGUAAAUUGAUUCCGAUUGUUCUUGGUAUAUUUUUAGGAUUUUUAGCUUUUUAGUCCGAUUGUGAGAUCAAAAACAACCUUAUGUUGUCAUACUCCGACGCUUCGUAUCGGAUCUUGAGAAAGAUCCCAUACGGAUCGGAAAGUUGGAGUAAGAGAACAUAAGGUUGUUUUUGAUCUCACAAUCGGACUGAAAAGCAAAAAAAUGCUAAAAAUAAGUUCAGAAUUACGAAAAACUAUUCUGGAUGACAUGUUAUGCCUUAACUUAUAAGUUGCUAUUCAUUUUUUUCUGUUUAGUGUUUAUCCAUUGUUUUGAACUUGUACGAGGAAAGGAAAGUUGCCAAAAGUGAGUUCAGUUAACUUCAUUAACUCGCAUACAGACAGAGUACUUAGAGUAGAAGUUCUUUUUACCCAACAGCCAGUUUAAAUUACUCAAGGAUGCAAAAAAGCGCAGCGGACUGUGAGAUAAAAAAAACCUUAUGUUCUCUUAGUCCAACGUUUGUUCUAAGAAUAAAAUGUUGCACAUCAAACGAAAACUAUCAAGGCUCAGUGUUGCCACUUGCAAUAAAAUUGUAAAAAAGGAAUUUAUGAUUCUUGCUUGAUAGUUUGAUUUGAUACAAAAGUUCUCAUGCAGAUUUUUACAAUAAAAUUAAAAUGUCUGGCAACACUUUCGUCAAUCAUAAUGUUUACAUAGGUAGAAUUUCAAUUGAAAUAAGGAUUAUAAUAGAUAAAUUUUAAACUUUAGCAAUCUAUUGUUAUUUAUUCUAAUAAAUCCAUAAUUGAGAAACUGGCAACACUGUCAUAUUGUUAUUUUUACAUAGUUUUCUAUUCUCCUUGGUCUAAAUCAGCCCAAAUCAGCUUUAAAUUGCAUCGAAUAAUGUUUUCUUAGCGAAACAUGUAAAUUGGACUUAUUUUAUAUAUUAGAGAAAACCGGUUUUCAAGCUUAAAAACGCUGUAUCUCUGGAACGGCCCAAAAGACCUCGGGGAGUUAAGCUUUUUCGACUGGAAAAUGUCUGAUAAACACGAUGGAAUCAAAAUUUUUGAAAUCAAAAUAUACUCAUUCGACGAAAAAUAGAUUUUAUGCAAUUCAGUAUCAUAAUUUACAUUUUAUAUAACUCAUUUUGGUAUCAUAAUGGCCAAUUUUUUCGAACUGGCUCAUUAUGCAACUGAAAUGAGUUGCAUAAUGAAAAAUAGUUGUAUAAUGUUCAUAAUGCAACCCAUUUGAGUUGCAUUAUGAACAUUAUGCAACUCAAAUGGGUUGCAUUAUGAAAAAAAUCAUUGCAUAAAAUUUUGUAUGGAACUCGUUGCAAAACUCGAUUUUUUCAGCACUCUUCGUAUUUAUCCAACUCGGCAAGCCUCGUUGGAUAAAUGUACGACUCGUGCUGAAAAAAUCAACUUUUUGCAACUUGUUACAUAAAUAACUAUUAAAUUUUAAAAUUAAAAAAAUAACAUAUUUGGCAACACUGUACCAAAAAAAUAAUAUUUUUCCUGGAUUCCUCCAACAAUUUUCUUCAAAAACGCCAAAGGUCACAAAUGUGUAUAUGUUAUAGUUUCAAAGCUAUAAAUUAAGAAAAGGAAGGGAAAACUUGGAUUUUUCUUGUAUUGGCAAAGACGAGGGGUGCUGCCACGGGCCGAGGGGUGAUCCGAUCGGCACCAAAAUUUGGAUUUUUUCUUCCUCCAUUUAAACAAACAUUCCAACAAAAUUUGGUCAAAAUCCGUGAUGGUCGAUAACACGCGGUGUGUACACUUGGUGUGGAAUGACCCAUAUACGAUUU